AAAUACAAGUGUAACUCAAAUGACCAUCAUGGCCAACUCUACCUUCAUCAUCACCUAGUAACAGCUGGGAGAGCAGCUAGUGAGAGGACUAAAGGGACACUUCACCCCAAAACACAAUUUUCUGACUUCUUAUCCAGCAAUCUGACCAACCACCUGUUCACAGAGUUUGUGUUUUCUUUGAUUAAAUUUAGCUGUUAUUUAUUUUACAGUAUUAUAUCUUGUUUUGCACUGUUUCUGUUGUGUUUUGGGUGUCAACUGGCCCUUUAAACUGGAGUAGUUUGUAAAAUGUAGCCAGAAUUUUAAAGGUAGCUCCAAACCAUCGCGGGCAGCAUAUCACCAGGGUGACAGACAACUGCUGCUCUUUGCUAGCUAUUCUCAGCUGUAGCGAGCUACCAUUAGCAAAUUAGCACAUGGAUCAGUUAGCCGCAGAGCAAGCGGUCUAACAGUUUGACUGUACAGGGAACCUGGAUCACUGAGGGUGUCAACACGGGCGAUGGGGCCCGUAGGACUUAGGGACAGUAGGACACGGCAGCCAGCAAAAAUGGCAUAUAGAGCCAGAAUCUUUGCACUUCUUACGCCAUGAAUUUAGUUUCUGUGUUGACCAAACAAGAUGUGAUUUGGAAAGACAAACCAGGAAUAUUUUGGUCAGUUUUAUUUAGUUUCUGUUGAGUUUGAAGUGUGUUUAAUGAUGAGUUAACAAGACAGUAAAGCUCAUCUUAGCUCAGUACGAGAGAAACUUGAAUUCGGAGGGUGUACUAUUGUAAUCUUCUGUUCAGUAAGGAAUAAUUUCUUGAAAUUUUAUACAUUUAAUACAGCUGGCACAUCUCCCAGCUGAAACUGUGAAGGAUAUCAAACUCUAGCCUCUUACAAAGAAGCAUGAAGAGUCAGGACGGGCCUGUUUUCCAUAGACAUCUAUGCAAAACAGUCCUAGGUGUCUUGUUUUUUACACAGUUCAUAAUAUUAAUUAAUUUCUGGCCAUAUCUUACAAAUUGCCCCUUUAAAAUAGGUAUACCAAUUUGCUAAACAUGCAAUUAAUCUUAAAAUCUGCUAACAUUAAAAAGUCUAUUAUUGACAUAAGCAGAUGCAGCACUGUCGCCACAGUCAGGUUAGAUUCAUGCCAAAUGUUUUAGAUUCAACAACCUCUCAGCAAAUAAUAUCUAGAGCAAUACAUCAUGACAAUGAAGAGAGCAAUGCAGAUUUAGAUCAGCACCAACAUGCUUUUUCUAACACACACAGCCUUAAACAAAAUCACCGAUUGAUAGAUAGUAUGCAAUCUGAUUAUCAUUAAAACCUAAAUAACAAAGUUAUUCAUAUUCAUAAUUAUUCAUUUGUUAGGGAAGCUGGUUCCCUGUUAGACCCUUGUUCAAAGAGUAAAUAAAGUUUUAUGUGAUCACGUUUGUGAUCUUUGACUACAUGUUUGUUUUUAGCAGGUAUAUAACCGUUAAUAUUACAAUGAGCUAACUUAAGUUACGCGUCAAGAUGUAUCAUAAUUUAUUAGAGCUAUAAGGGUUCGCUAACGUUACUAAACAAAAGAUAAAGUUAACACUGAGUUAGCUAUGUUCAUUAAAAAAUAAAGUCCAGCCAAAUGAAAGAUAGAUUUGUAAAAUUUUCAUCUGCAAAUCAACACAGAUAUUUACUGAAAAACGCUGUUUGAGUUAACGUUGCGUUGUUAGUUUUAGCUAACGUUGGCUAAUUUAUAAUCAUGACAUCGUGCACGUUCAACCUGCGGCAGAAACGCAAUGCUAACAAAGAAACGCCCCCCAAGGCAAAAGGAAUGCUGCUUAAACCUGAGAAGGUGUAGGAGGGAUCCACGAGCUGCCGUGUGUUGAUCAGACUCGUUUGCUUCUGCAGAUGAAGGUUACAGAGCCGGCAGUGAUGGUCUGGAAAACAGCUUUCAAAAGAAUCACAGCGACUGACCUCGACCAUUUCCUCCCCUUGGAUCUCUCUGACUGAGGUGAACUUUGCAGUCUCAGAAAUCAGCUUCCCAUCCUCCUCU